rnacentral:sRNA from 1 species
UUGGGGCCCGGAGAGUGCGGAGCGGGUAUGGUAGUUGGUAGUUGGUAGUCUUGAAGGGAUCCUACUUCCGCCUGCUCGGGUAGUUCCAGGUGAGUUGAGGGAGCACAGGCAUAGUUAGAGAAGAAAAGCUGCGGCUGUAUACAUGUUGCACAGUACUAGUACGUAUGAGCCAGUGGCCCGUGGGGCAACGAACUAUCUGCGAAUCGCCCUUCUCUGUGUGUAAAGCAACAGGAAAAAGGGAGUAUAGGAGCGUGUCGCCUGUCACUACAUUCGAUUUAUGUAGGUACAGAGUGACAUGAGGAAGUAGAGCAGGGGAGGUUCGAUGUUGAUCAUGCAUGUACGCAAGGG